rnacentral:rRNA from 1 species
CCUACGGGUGGCAGCAGUGGGGAAUAUUGCACAAUGGGCGAAACCCUGAUGCAGCGACGCCGCGUGAGUGAAGAAGGAUUUCGGUACGUAAAGCUCUAUCAGCAGGGAAGAAAAUGACGGUAUCUGACUACGAAGCCCUGGCUAACGUCGUGCCAGCAGCCGCGGCAAUACGUAGGGGGCAAGCGUUAUCCGGAUUUACUGGGUGUAAAGGGAGCGUAGACGGCAGCGCAAGUCUGUAGUGAAAUCCCAGGGCUUAAUCAUGGAACUGCUUUGGAAACUGUGAGGCUAGAGUGCAGGAGAGGUGGGCGGAAUUCGUGGGGUAGCGGUGAAAUGCGUAGAUAUUAGGAAGAACACCGGUGGCGAAGGCGGCCCGCUGGACUCUAACUGACGCUGAGGCACGAAAGCGUGGGUAGCAAACAGGAUUAGAUACCCCUGUAGUC